rnacentral:rRNA from 1 species
CACGUAGGGGGCGAGCGUUGUCCGGAUUUAUUGGGCGUAAAGAGCUCGUAGGCGGCUCAGUAAGUCAGGUGUGAAAACUCUAGGCUCAACCUGGAGACGCCACCUGAUACUGCUGUGGCUAGAGUCCGGUAGGGGAGCAUGGAAUUCCUGGUGAUAGCGGUGAAAUGCGGCAGACUAUCAGGAGGAACACCAGUGGCGGAAGGCGGUGCUUCUGGGCCGGAACUGAACG